UACAGAGGUCUCGAGCGUUGUUCGGAUUCAUUGGGCGUAAAAGGGUGCGUAGGUGGUCAGGUAAGUCGGAUGUGAAAUCCCGGGGCUCAACCUCGGAACUACAUUCGAUACUGCCUGACUGGAGUACUGGAGAGGAGAUUGGAAUUUACGGUGUAGCAGUGAAAUGCGUAGAUAUCGUAAGGAAGACCAGUGGCGAAGGCGGAUCUCUGGACAGUUACUGACACUGAGGCACGAAGGCCAGGGGAGCAAACGGG
rnacentral:rRNA from 1 species